rnacentral:rRNA from 1 species
GACGAACGCUGGCGGCGUGCUUAACACAUGCAAGUCGAGCGGAGCGGCGAACGGGGGAGUAACGCGGGAGUAACUGCCCCCCUCUCUGGGAUAACAGUUGGAAACGGCUGCUAAUACCGGAUAGUGGGGGAUGACUCGCGUCCUAUCAGCGUGUUGGUGGGGUAGGGGCCUACCAAGGCGACGACGGGUAGCCGGCCUGAGCGGGCGACCGGCCACAGUGGGCUGCGAUACGGCCCAAGCUCCUACGGGAGGCAGCAGUGGGGGAUAGUGGGCAAUGGGCGAAAGCCUGAUGCAGCGAUCCGCGUGAGGGAUGAGGGCUUUCGGGUUGUAAACCUCUUUCGCUAUCGAAAGGGUAGGUGGAGAAGAAGCGCCGGCUAACUACGUGCCAGCAGCCGCGGUAAUUC